GGGGAUGUAGCUCAGCUGGUAGAGCGCUUGCUUCGCAUGUAAGAGGUCAGGGGUUCGAGUCCCCUCAUCUCCA
rnacentral:tRNA from 1 species